CAGUAGCCACGGGAAUACAGAGGGUGCGAGCGUUAAUCGGAUUUACUGGGCGUAAAGCGUGCGUAGGCGGCUUCUUAAGUCGGAUGUGAAAUCCCUGAGCUUAACUUAGGAAUUGCAUUCGAUACUGGGAAGCUAGAGUAUGGGAGAGGAUGGUAGAAUUCCAGGUGUAGCGGUGAAAUGCGUAGAGAUCUUGAGGAAUACCGAUGGCGAAGGCAGCCAUCUGGCCUAAUACUGACGCUGAGGUACGAAAGCAUGGGGAGCAAACAGGAUUAGAUACCCCCGUAGUCCCUGUCUCUUAUAC
rnacentral:rRNA from 1 species